GGAGGUGUCCCUGCCCUUGGCAGGGGGGGUGGAAUUAGGUGGUCUUUGAGGUCCCUGCCAACCCAAGCCAUUCUGUGGCUCUAUGAGCCAACAGGAGGUACGCACAAGGCCUCUGCAGUGGCUCUGAUUGCACUAGCACACCCUUUCUGAGAAACAGCACUGAUAACAGGCAUGCGUUCCUCUCCCUAUGCCAAAACUGGCUUUCAGUUCCCCCAUCAUUGGCGGGUUACAGUGCAUGCCAUGAUGAACACUGGCCGUCCUCCCUGUGGGAAGGAGAGCCUUUCACCGGCAGUGAUGUAUGGCUGGACACGUGCAAAGUGCUGGCAGCUGUGGAGCUCUGGAACUCUUCAAGAUAAAAUGCACUUUCUGAAAGUUCUGAAAAGCCAUACUGGAGAGAAAGUGUAUUUUUUCUAACCUUAGAGAGUUGCAAAGUAGCCCAGCAAAGAAGCAGAACCCCUCUCUACCUGGGAUUGUUCUAUUCACAGUAAUCAUGAGCAAAGAAUAUCAAAGAGAAGUAAUGAUAAUACUGCCACUGCUGCCAAAGUAAUACCCUUUUGAAUAUUGCCAAAUAAAAAUAGCUGAAGUGAUUCAGAAUGUUUCUUGGGAA